rnacentral:rRNA from 1 species
UGGGGAAUAUUGCACAAUGGGCGCAAGCCUGAUGCAGCCAUGCCGCGUGUAUGAAGAAGGCCUUCGGGUUGUAAAGUACUUUCAGCGGGGAGGAAGGGAGUAAAGUUAAUACCUUUGCUCAUUGACGUUACCCGCAGAAGAAGCACCGGCUAACUCCGUGCCAGCAGCCGCGGUAAUACGGAGGGUGCAAGCGUUAAUCGGAAUUACUGGGCGUAAAGCGCACGCAGGCGGUUUGUUAAGUCAGAUGUGAAAUCCCCGGGCUCAACCUGGGAACUGCAUCUGAUACUGGCAAGCUUGAGUCUCGUAGAGGGGGGUAAAUUCCAGGUGUAGCGGUGAAAUGCGUAGAGAUCUGGAGGAAUACCGGUGGCGAAGGCGGCCCCCUGGACGAAGACUGACGCUCAGGUGCGAAAGCGUGGGGAGCAAACAGG